rnacentral:rRNA from 1 species
CCUACGGGAGGCAGCAGUGGGGAAUAUUGGACAAUGGGCGAAAGCCUGAUCCAGCCAUGCCGCGUGUGUGAAGAAGGCCUUCGGGUUGUAAAGCACUUUCAGUGGGGAAGAAAGCCUUGGGGCUAAUACCCUCGAGGAAGGACAUCACCCACAGAAGAAGCACCGGCUAACUCCGUGCCAGCAGCCGCGGUAAUACGGAGGGUGCGAGCGUUAAUCGGAAUUACUGGGCGUAAAGCGCGCGUAGGCGGUCUGAUAAGCCGGUUGUGAAAGCCCCGGGCUCAACCUGGGAACGGCAUCCGGAACUGUCAGGCUAGAGUGCAGGAGAGGAAGGUAGAAUUCCCGGUGUAGCGGUGAAAUGCGUAGAGAUCGGGAGGAAUACCAGUGGCGAAGGCGGCCUUCUGGACUGACACUGACGCUGAGGUGCGAAAGCGUGGGUAGGAAACAGGAUUAGAUACCCCUGUAGUC